CAGUCGCCGCGGGAAUACAGAGGGUGCGAGCGUUAAUCGGAUUUACUGGGCGUAAAGCGUGCGUAGGCGGCUUCUUAAGUCGGAUGUGAAAUCCCUGAGCUUAACUUAGGAAUUGCAUUCGAUACUGGGAAGCUAGAGUAUGGGAGAGGAUGGUAGAAUUCCAGGUGUAGCGGUGAAAUGCGUAGAGAUCUGGAGGAAUACCGAUGGCGAAGGCAGCCAUCUGGCCUAAUACUGACGCUGAGGUACGAAAGCAUGGGGAGCAAACAGGAUUAGAUACCCCAGUAGUCCCUGUCUCUUAUAC
rnacentral:rRNA from 1 species